rnacentral:rRNA from 1 species
UACAGAGGGGGCAAGCGUUGUUCGGAAUUACUGGGCGUAAAGGGCGCGUAGGCGGCCUGUUAAGUCGAACGUGAAAUCCCUGGGCUCAACCCAGGAACUGCGUCCGAUACUGGCAGGCUUGAAUCCGGGAGAGGGGAUGUGGAAUUCCAGGUGUAGCGGUGAAAUGCGUAGAUAUCUGGAGGAACACCGGUGGCGAAGGCGGCAUCCUGGACCGGUAUUGACGCUGAGGCGCGAAAGCCAGGGGAGCAAACGAG